AACGAACGCUGGCGGCAUGCCUAACACAUGCAAGUCGAACGAGACCUUCGGGUAUAGUGGCGCAAGGGUGCGUAACGCGUGGGAACCUGCCCUUAGGUUCGGAAUAACUCCCCGAAAGGGGUGCUAAUACCGGAUAAUGUCGUUGGACCAAAGAAUUAUCGCCUUUGGAGGGGGCCGAGUUGGAUUAGAUAGUUGGUAGGGUAAAAGCAUACCAAGGCGACGAUCCAUAGCUGGUCUGAGAGGAUGAUCAGCCACACUGGGACUGAGACACGGCCCAGACUCCUACGGGAGGCAGCAGGGGUGAAUAUUGGACAAUGGGCGAAUGCCUGCUCCAUCAAUGCCGCGUGAGUGAUGAAGGCCUUAGGGUUGUAAAGCUCUUUUACCCGGGAUGAUAAUGACGGUACCGGGAGAAUAAGCUCCGGCUAACUACGUG
rnacentral:rRNA from 1 species